CCUACGGGAGGCAGCAGUGAGGAAUAUUGGUCAAUGGACGAAAGUCUGAACCAGCCAAGCAGCGUGAAGGAUGACUGCCCUAUGGGUUGCAAACUUCUUUUAUAUGGGAAUAAAAUGUUGCACGUGUGGGAUUCUGUAUGUACCAUAUGAAUAAGGAUCGGCUAACUCCGUGCCAGCAGCCGCGGUAAUACGGAGGAUCCGAGCGUUAUCCGGAUUUAUUGGGUUUAAAGGGAGCGUAGGUGGAGUGUUAAGUCAGUUGUGAAAGUUUGCGGCUCAACCGUAACAUUGCAGUUGAAACUGGCAGUCUUGAGUACAGUAGAGGUGGGCGGAAUUCGUGGUGUAGCGGUGAAAUGCUUAGAUAUCACGAAGAACUCCGAUUGCGAAGGCAGCGCGCUGGACUGCAACUGACGCUGAGGCUCGAAAGUGUGGGUAUCAAACAGGAUUAGAUACCCCAGUAGUC
rnacentral:rRNA from 1 species